GGCUCAAUGGUCUAGUGGUAUGAUUCGCCCUUCGGGUUUACCAAUCCUUGCGCACAGCGCGAAAUUGGGCGAGGUCUCGGGUUCGAAUCCCGAUUGAGCCC
rnacentral:tRNA from 1 species